GAUCGCAUGGUCGUGUUUGGAAAGAUUUUUCGGUCUGGGAUGGGCUCGCGGCCUAUCAGCUUGUUGGUGAGGUAAUGGCUCACCAAGGCGUCGACGGGUAGCCGGCCUGAGAGGGUGACCGGCCACACUGGGACUGAGACACGGCCCAGACUCCUACGGGAGGCAGCAGUGGGGAAUAUUGCACAAUGGGCGAAAGCCUGAUGCAGCAACGCCGCGUGAGGGAUGACGGCCUUCGGGUUGUAAACCUCUUUUAGCAGGGAAGAAGCGAAAGUGACGGUACCUGCAGAAAAAGCGCCGGCUAACUACGUGCCAGCAGCCGCGGUAAUACGUAGGGCGCAAGCGUUAUCCGGAAUUAUUGGGCGUAAAGAGCUCGUAGGCGGUUUGUCGCGUCUGCUGUGAAAUCCCGAGGCUCAACCUCGGGCCUGCAGUGGGUACGGGCAGACUAGAGUGCGGUAGGGGAGAUUGGAAUUCCUGGUGUAGCGGUGGAAUGCGCAGAUAUCAGGAGGAACACCGAUGGCGAAGGCAGAUCUCUGGGCCGUAACUGACGCUGAGGAGCGAAAGGGUGGGGAGCAAACAGGCUUAGAUACCCUGGUAGUCCACCCCGUAAACGUUGGGAACUAGUUGUGGGGGACCAUUCCACGGUUU
rnacentral:rRNA from 1 species